rnacentral:rRNA from 1 species
CAGCAGCCACGGGAAUACGUAGGGUGCAAGCGUUAAUCGGAAUUACUGGGCGUAAAGCGUGCGCAGGCGGUUUUGUAAGACAGAGGUGAAAUCCCCGGGCUCAACCUGGGAACUGCCUUUGUGACUGCAAGGCUGGAGUGCGGCAGAGGGGGAUGGAAUUCCGCGUGUAGCAGUGAAAUGCGUAGAUAUGCGGAGGAACACCGAUGGCGAAGGCAAUCCCCUGGGCCUGCACUGACGCUCAUGCACGAAAGCGUGGGGAGCAAACAGGAUUAGAUACCCGGGUAGUCCCUGUCUCUUAUAC